CGAGUGAAGCGGGAAGAGCUCAAAUUUGUAAUCUGGCGUCCUUCGGGCGUCCGAGUUGUAAUCUAUAGAAGUGUUUUCCGUGCCGGACCAUGUCCAAGUCCCUUGGAACAGGGUAUCAAAGAGGGUGACAAUCCCGUACUUGACAUGACCACCGGUGCUCUGUGAUACACUUUCUACGAGUCGAGUUGUUUGGGAAUGCAGCUCAAAAUGGGUGGUAAAUUCCAUCUAAAGCUAAAUAUUGGCGAGAGACCGAUAGCGAACAAGUACCGUGAGGGAAAGAUGAAAAGCACUUUGGAAAGAGAGUUAAACAGUACGUGAAAUUGUUGAAAGGGAAACGAUUGAAGUCAGUCGUGUUCUUUGGACUCAGCCGGUUCUUCCGGUCUAUUUCCUUUGAACGGGUCAACAUCAGUUUUGUCCGGUGGAUAAAGGCAGGAAGAAAGUGGCUCCCUCGGGAGUGUUAUAGCUUUCUGUCACAUACACUGGAGGAGACUGAGGACUGCAGCUCGCCUUUUGGCCGGGGUUCGCCCACGUUCGAGCUUAGG
rnacentral:rRNA from 1 species